rnacentral:lncRNA from 1 species
UUAGUUGCAUGAAAUGGUUAUAUUUCAAAUAGAACAUGUGUAGGUUCUUAAUUUACAUAUAUAAUUACAGUGAGAAGACAAUUGUAGGCCAGUGUAUAAAUAGAUUCUUACUCCACUAAGUAGAUGUUAGAAAAAAAAGGUAAGGAGAGACAAACUUCAAAUACUUUUACCUAUAUAAUUACGACGAGAAGAAAAUUGAUAGAUGGGAUAUUAGAAAAAAUGGUAAGAAGUGACAACAUUUCUAUAGUUUUUCAUAUAUAAUAUAACUAUGAUGAGAAGAAAAGAAAAAUGACAGAGACGAGAAGAAAAUUAGAAAAUGAGAUAUUACAACAAAUGUAGUAAGAGAGACACUAUACAAAUUCACCAGUGUUCUCAUCCCAUCACAUUCAAGUUCUAUUUUAAGUUGCUAGCGUGAAAUAAGUUCUAAAUAAAUUAUUCUAUUUUUAAAUAAAAUAAUUACUCAUUUUUCCAUCCACCGUAUAUGGUUCUAGUUAUAGUAAAUAGUAAAUAGAUGCAUGUAAACUAAUAUAU